rnacentral:rRNA from 1 species
CUACGGAGGAUCCAAGCGUUAUCCGGAAUCAUUGGGUUUAAAGGGUCCGUAGGUGGACAGAUAAGUCAGAGGUGAAAUCCUGCAGCUCAACUGUAGAAUUGCCUUUGAAACUGUUUGUCUUGAGUCAUGGUGAAGUGGUUAGAAUGUGUAGUGUAGCGGUGAAAUGCAUAGAUAUUACACAGAAUACCGAUUGCGAAGGCAGAUCACUCAUAAUGUACUGACACUGAUGGACGAAAGCGUGGGUAGCGAACAGAAUUAGAAACCCUAGUAGUCC